rnacentral:rRNA from 1 species
GACAGAGGGUGCAAACGUUGUUCGGAAUUACUGGGCGUAAAGCGCGCGUAGGCGGACCUGCAAGUCGGGGGUGAAAGCCCGAGGCUCAACCUCGGAACUGCCUUCGAUACAGCACGUCUUGAGUCCGGAAGAGGUGGGUGGAAUUCCUAGUGUAGAGGUGAAAUUCGUAGAUAUUAGGAAGAACACCGGUGGCGAAGGCGGCCCACUGGUCCGGUACUGACGCUGAGGAGCGAAAGCGUGGGUAGCGAACAGG